rnacentral:rRNA from 1 species
UACGAAGGGGGCUAGCGUUGCUCGGAAUCACUGGGCGCAAAGCGCGCGUAGGCGGCUUUGCAAGUCGGGUGUGAAAUCCCCAGGCUUAACCUGGGAACUGCAUCCGAGACUGCAUUGCUAGAGUAUGGGAGAGGGAAGUGGAAUUUCAGGUGUAGCGGUGAAAUGCGUAGAUAUCUGAAGGAACAUCAGUGGCGAAAGCGACUUCCUGGACCAAUACUGACGCUCAUGUGCGAAAGCGUGGGGAGCAAACAGG